rnacentral:tRNA from 2 species
GUCAAGAUGGCCGAGCGGUCGAAGGCGCUGUGUUCAAGACCCACUUGAGUUCUCUUGCCCUCUAAACAAGGGUGUACUUCCACAGUAUCGAAAGAUUCUUGGGUUCGAAUCCCAAUCUUGACA